ACCUCCCACCCGUGUCUAUUGUACCAUGUUGCUUCGGCAGGCCCGCCUCACGGCCGCCGGGGGCUUCUGCCCCGGGCCUGCGCCUGCCGAAGACCCUCUGAACGCUGUCUGAAGAUUGCAGUCUGAGUGAAAACACAAAAAUUAUUUAAAACUUUCAACAACGGAUCUCUUGGUUCCGGCAUCGAUGAAGAACGCAGCGAAAUGCGAUAACUAAUGUGAAUUGCAGAAUUCAGUGAAUCAUCGAGUCUUUGAACGCACAUUGCGCCCUCUGGUAUUCCGGAGGGCAUGCCUGUCCGAGCGUCAUUGCUGCCCUCAAGCCCGGCUUGUGUGUUGGGCCUCGUCCCCCUCUCCGGGGGGACGGGCCCGAAAGGCAGCGGCGGCACCGUGUCCGGUCCUCGAGCGUAUGGGGCUUUGUCACCCGCUCUGUAGGCCCGGCCGGCGCCUGUCGACCCCCAAUCUAAAUUUUUUCAGGUUGACCUCGGAUCAGGUAGGGAUACCCGCUGAACUUAAGCAUAUCAAUAAGCGGAGGAACAUUACUGAGUGAGGGCCCUUUGGGUCCACCUCCCACCCGUGUCUUAGUACCAGUUGCUUCGGCAGGCCCGCCUCAGG
rnacentral:rRNA from 1 species